rnacentral:rRNA from 1 species
AUUGUACGCUGGCGGCAUGCCUUACACAUGCAAGUCGAACGGCAGCACGGGUGCUUGCACCUGGUGCGAGUGGCGAAACGGGUGAGUAAUACAUCGGAAUGUACCUUGUAGUGGGGGAUAGCUCGGCGAAAGCCGGAUUAAUACCGCAUACGCUCUGAGGAGGAAAGCGGGGGACCUUCGGGCCUCGUGCUACAAGAGCAGCCGAUGUCAGAUUAGCUUGUUGGUGAGGUAAAAGCUCACCAAGGCGACGAUCUGUAGCUGGUCUGAGAGGACGACCAGCCACACUGGGACUGAGACACGGCCCAGACUCCUACGGGAGGCAGCAGUGGGGAAUUUUGGACAAUGGGCGAAAGCCUGAUCCAGCAAUGCCG